UACGGAGGGUGCAAGCGUUAUCCGGAAUCAUUGGGUUUAAAGGGUCCGCAGGCGGUCUUAUAAGUCAGUGGUGAAAGCCUACAGCUCAACUGUAGAACUGCCAUUGAUACUGUAAGACUUGAAUUCGAUCGAAGUGGGCGGAAUAUGACAUGUAGCGGUGAAAUGCUUAGAUAUGACAUAGAACACCGAUUGCGAAGGCAGCUCACUAAACAAUGAUUGACGCUGAGGCACGAAAGCGUGGGGAUCAAACAGG
rnacentral:rRNA from 1 species